AAAGAAACAAACCCUGGAUUUUCGUGUCCAACGUUUAACUGUCCGUCUUAUAUGAAAUUUUUUUUAUAAUUAGUAUUUUCAUUGUUGUUAAAUGAUAAAACAUGAUUAAUACUUUAUGCGUGACUAAUCUUUUUAAUUUUUUUCAUAUAUUUUUUAAAUAAGACAGAUGGACAACUGGACACGAAAACCCAGGGUUUCAAAUAAG
rfam:Oryza sativa (indica cultivar-group) chromosome 1, whole genome shotgun sequence.